rnacentral:misc_RNA from 1 species
AGCCGGAGCUUAAUUCAGACGUUAAAACUUAUUAGCUAUUCUUGGUCGGAUUAAGACGAAAAGACUCAUUGAUGUGCAGACGUGUUGUGAAAGUUUGUAUGAAAUUUGGAGGUUGAAAGCAGCAACGUAAAAUAUAUUGCAUUCAACACCAAGAUGGUUUUAGUUUCUAUACAUUAGUAAUUCCUGGACAACGAAAAUUAAUUGCAAGAUUUCCGAGCAGAUACGACUUUUCAUCCAGAAAUGAAGCAGGAGAUUUUUGAAGACCUGGACGCUGUGCGAGAGAAGACGUGUUAACAUGGUUUUAAAGCUUCUCGGGGUGGCCAAUACUUUUAGUCCAGUGCAGUUCUCUGGCUCUACUAUCCCACAAGCAUAAGGAGCAUGGGUAUUUAGUAGAGCCUGCCUGCUGACCCAAAAGCAUAGAUUCUACAAAAUUGCAUUGACCCUGAAAAAUAAAUUUCACAUGUUUUUUCGGCAACGGAAUGACAAGAGAUAGCAAUAAAAAUAAAUCAGCCUGGGGACUUAACUAAUAAAAUAAAAUCAAUAUAAGCUGUUGAAAUGGGCUGACCUAAGGUAACUGAAAAUGGCUUUGGCCCAGGAGGAGAGAACUGAAGCCAUUUUGAUGUCUGGAGUGUGGAAUUUCUGCGUCAUAGUAGCAGAUUUUAACAACUGGCCCUCAGAAGCACCUCCAGGUUCGAUAUGGCCGAUUUCGAGUUGGUGCCCGUAUUCGAUACAUACCGUAAAAGAUUUAGACCAUUUCACCCAUACCUUACUGGAAUAUUCAGAUUUCCCCGCUCCUGCAAGACUUUUGACAUAACAGGAUAUACUGCAACUUUCUUUUAACUGACACUAUAUAUAUAAAAUAUAUACUACUGUAUGAAGACAUUGUUUAAUGUUACUACCACAUGCCUCAAAAUAUU